rnacentral:lncRNA from 12 species
AAGAGCCAUCCAACUGUCAAGGUUGUGAGCGACAGAGAGAUGAUUAUCCUCCUAUGGUCUUCCUCAAAGCUUUGGAACAGAAGAAUAAAUUAGUUCUUAAAAGUUACGCAGAGGAAGGGAAGGGCAAGAUAAAUUGAUUCAGCUAGACGACGUCUAAGAUCACCCGGGCGCUGGGGCAAGCAGACAGUCCGGCUUCCACAUGGCAUCUGCUGAAUCGGAGUUUCCAAGGACACCCCUUGGGGAAGUGUGGUGGACGACCCUGAGUACCUGGGCACGGCUUACCCUUCAGUGUGACCUCAGAAUGAGCAAGCGGUUGUGUGGAAAGAAAUCUCCAGGCCCAAGAUGGAGUCGCUUCUGCCCAGGGGCCGCAGCAGCGACCCGAGGCUUACACAGCCUGCACGUCCCCGUGAGUGUUCCACUUGACCGGAAACACGGCAGAUCCAGUCAGCCAGCCCCCCCGACGCCAAACCAGCUCUGCGCUCUGUGCUUAACUUUGUUUGUCCCUCGUUCAUUUUCUGUCCUUCUCUUCGUUCUUUACUCUUGAUCCUACCCGAGCUUCCUGCUUUCCGCUCUGCU